rnacentral:misc_RNA from 1 species
GAAAUGCGAUAAGUAAUGUGAAUUGCAGAAUUCAGUGAAUCAUCGAAUCUUUGAACGCACAUUGCGCCCGCCAGCACUCUGGCGGGCAUGCCUGUUCGAGCGUCAUUUCAACCCUCAGAACCCCUUGCGGGAUCUGGCGUUGGGGAUUGGCAUCCGCCAGCCCCGAAAUCUAGUGGCGGUCCCUCCGCGACCUCCCCUGUGCAGUAGCGAUACCUCGCAGCGGGACAGCGGUCUGACCACGCCGUAAAACCCCCAACUUCUCAAGGUUGACCUCGAAUCAGGUAGGAAUACCCGCUGAACUUAAGC